UGGGGAAUUUUGGACAAUGGGCGCAAGCCUGAUCCAGCCAUGCCGCGUGCGGGAAGAAGGCCUUCGGGUUGUAAACCGCUUUUGUCAGGGAAGAAAUCUUCUGAGUUAAUACCUCGGGAGGAUGACGGUACCUGAAGAAUAAGCACCGGCUAACUACGUGCCAGCAGCCGCGGUAAUACGUAGGGUGCAAGCGUUAAUCGGAAUUACUGGGCGUAAAGCGUGCGCAGGCGGUUUUGUAAGACAGAGGUGAAAUCCCCGGGCUCAACCUGGGAACUGCCUUUGUGACUGCAAGGCUUGAGUGCGGCAGAGGGGGAUGGAAUUCCGCGUGUAGCAGUGAAAUGCGUAGAUAUGCGGAGGAACACCGAUGGCGAAGGCAAUCCCCUGGGCCUGCACUGACGCUCAUGCACGAAAGCGUGGGGAGCAAAACAGGAUUAGAUCCCUGGUAGUCCACGCCCUAAAACGAUGUCAACUGGUUGUUGGGAAGGUUCCUUCUCAGUAACGUAGCUAACGCGUGAAGUUGGCCGCCUGGGGAGUACGGCCGCAAGGUUGAAACUCAAAUGAAUUGACGGGGUCAUAGCUGUUUCCUG
rnacentral:rRNA from 1 species